rnacentral:rRNA from 1 species
GUAGGGAAUAUUGCGCAAUGGACGAAAGUCUGACGCAGCGACGCCGCGUGAGUGAUGAAGGCCUUAGGGUCGUAAAGCUCUGUUGAAUGGGAAGAAAAAAAUGACGGUACCAUUCGAGGAAGGACCGGCUAACUUCGUGCCAGCAGCCGCGGUAAUACGAGGGGUCCUAGCGUUGUUCGGAAUCAUUGGGCGUAAAGGGUGUGUAGGUGGCCAUGUAAGUCAGGUGUGAAAGCCCCGGGCUCAACUCGGGAAGUGCACUUGAUACUGCGUGGCUUGAGUACCGAAGAGGGUAGUGGAAUUCCAGGUGUAGUGGUGAAAUACGUAGAUAUCUGGAGGAACACCGGUGGCGAAGGCGGCUACCUGGUCGAGUACUGACACUGAGACACGAAAGCAUGGGGAUCAAACAGGAUUAGAAACCCGUGUAGUCC